AAUCGGUAGGGGAGCGUUCCACAUUAGAUAGAAGCAUUAGCGUAAUCGGGUGUGGACAAAGUAGAAGUGAGAAUGUCGGCUUGAGUAGCGAAAACAUUGGUGAGAAUCCAAUGCCCCGAAAACCUAAGGGUUCCUCCGGAAGGCUCGUCCGCGGAGGGUGAGUCAGGGCCUAAGGUGAGGCCGAAAGGCGUAGCUAAUGGAUAACGGGUUAAUAUUCCUGUACCAUUCAUUAUUGGUAUCGAGGGACGGAGAAGGCUACAUCAGCCGGAUGUUGGUUACCGGUUUAAGCGCCUAAGACGUUGACAAGUGGAGAAAACACUUUGAGUUAAAGCGUGAAUACGAAAUGCUACGGCAUUGAAGUGAUCUAUGCCAUGCUUCCAAGAAAAUCUCGUCAUAUCUUAAAUAAUGAAUGCCUGUACCAUAAACCGACACAGGUAGGUACGUAGAGUAUACCAAGGGGCGCGAGAUAACUCUCUCUAAGGAACUCGGCAAAAUAACCUCGUAACUUCGGAAAAGAGGUACCCUUGAAAAAGGGUUGCAAUAACCAGACCCUGGCGACUGUUUACCAAAAACACAGGUCUCCGCUAAUUCGUAAGAUCAAGUAUGGAGGCUGACGCCUGCCCAGUGCCGGAAGGUUAAAGAAGUUGGUCAAUCCUUGGAUGAAGCUGGCGACUGAAGCCCCGGUGAACGGCGGCCGUAACGAUAACGGUCCUAAGGUAGCGAAGUUCCUUGUCGGGUAAGUUCCGACCCGCACGAAAGGCGUAACGAUCAGGGUGCUGUCUCGGAGAGAGACUCGGCGAAAUAGACAUGUCUGUGAAGAUGCGGACUACCUGCACCUCGACAGAAAGACCCUAUGAAGCUUUACUGUAUCUUGGAAUUGGGUUUGGGCCUUGUUUGCGCAGGAUAGGUGGGAGGCUAUGAAAAUAUUCUUGUGGGAAUGUUGGAGCCAACGGUGAGAUACCACUCUAGCAAGGCUAAAAUUCUAACUCUGAACCGUUAUCCGGUCAGAGAACAGUUUCAGGUGGGCAGUUUGGCUGGGGCGGUCGCCUCCUAAAAGGUAACGGAGGCGCGCAAAGGUUCCCUCAGGCUGGUUGGACAUCAGUCGUAGAGUGUAAAGGCAUAAGGGAGCUUGACUGCGAGACCCACAAGUCGAGCAGAGACGAAAGUCGGCCUUAGUGAUCCGACGGUUCCACGUGGAAGGGCCGUCGCUCAACGGAUAAAAGUUACUCUAGGAUAACAGGCUGAUCUCCCCCAAGAGUUCACAUCGACGGGGAGGUUUGGCACCUCGAUGUCGGCUCAUCGCAUCCUGGGGCGGUAGUACGUCCCAAGGGUUGGGCUGUUCGCCCAUGAAAGCGGUACGCGAGCUGGGUUCAGAACGUCGUGAGACAGUUCGGUCCAUAUCCGGUGCAGGCGUUAGAGCAUUGAAAGGAGUCCCCCUUAGUACGAGAGGACCGGGGGGAAUACACCGCUGGUGUACCAGUUAUCGUGCCAACGGUAAACGCUGGGUAGCCAUGUGUAGCGUGGAUAACUGCUGAAAGCAUCUAAGUAGGAAGCCCACCUUAAGAUGAGUGCUCUCACCGCUAUAAGCGGGUAAGGUCACGGUAAGAACAACCGUUAUAUAGGCAUUAAGUAUACAUGCAGUAAUGCAUUUAGCUGAGAUGUACUAACAGACCGAGGGCUUGAUCAA
rnacentral:rRNA from 1 species